UAUUCCCAAACUAAACCAAUCUCAUCUCUCCUCCUACUUGUUUAUCAAACUAAUUUCAUCUCUUCUCUCACCCAAACAAUUGAUUUCAAAGGUUCAAAGGUAAAAAAUAUUGAAUAACAUGAAUAAAAAAAAAAAAAAAUACAGCAAGAUAUCAAAUUAUUAUCAAUCUAAAAUUGCUUAUAUAUCUAGGUAUUGAAUGAAAAAAUGCAGCAACAAAUUUCGACAUAUAUAAUAAAAAAAUUAUUGAUUGGUCUCGCCGGCUUGUGGCCGAUCUUGCCGGAGAAGCAAAGAGUAGUGCUGAAGCAGGCUAGAUCGACCAGAAAGCCAGACUGCGACUCGCACUCUACUACGCUUGCCGGAAGAGGAAGAGAGAGACCCGAGAUGGAGUGAGCGGCGAAGGAACGGCGACAAGAAGCUUUAGUCGGCGCGACUUGAGCUUAAAUCACCGGAAACGCCAAAAGAAAGGAGAAAGAGGACUGGCUCGAUCGAGAAGCCCCUCUGUCUCUCUCAUUAGCAUCGCUUGAACAAGAACGAAGGCAAAAGCGCUGACCAGAGGUGCUGCCGGCGAUGUGAGGUUGUCAGAUCGAUGGAGCUUUGAGCUCCGGUGAACGGUAAACAAAGGGGAUAGGGGAGGAGUCUAUGGUGCGAUCAAGAAGAGGGAGAAGGGAUUUUGGGUUAAAGCAAAACAGGGAUUUUUAGAUAUAUAGAUAGGUUAGUUGCUGAUUUGGUUCGAUUUAGGUUUGAUUUGGCUCGAUUCAUGAAUUUUUUAUUUGAUGAUAUCCGACAUGGCAAAAUUAUGUGACUUGGAAUUGUAAUUUUUCACGUCAUCCGUGCAUGUUGUGCAAAACGAGUUUAGUACUCUGACCAUGUGUGCAAUUGUUAUUAAAAAGAAAAA